rnacentral:rRNA from 1 species
CAACUUUCAGCAACGGAUCUCUUGGCUCUCGCAUCGAUGAAGAACGCAGCAAAAUGCGAUAAGUAAUGUGAAUUGCAGAAUUCAGUGAAUCAUCGAAUCUUUGAACGCACCUUGCGCUCCUUGGUAUUCCGAGGAGCAUGCCUGUUUGAGUGUCAUG